UGCGUAGGCGGUUCGUUGUGUCCGCUGUGAAAGCCCCGGGCUUAACCUGGGAACUGCAGUGGAAACUAGCGGACUCAGAAUCUGGCAGAGGGGGGUGGAAUGCCACGUGUAGCAGUGAAAUGCGUAGAGAUGUGACGGAACACCGAUGGCGAAGGCAGCCCCCUGGGCUGAGAUUGACGCUCAGGCACGAAAGCGUGGGGAGCAAACA
rnacentral:rRNA from 1 species